GGGCAUGCGGGUGCUAUACAUGCAGUCGACGAACUCUGGUAUUGAUUGGUGCUUGCAUCAUGAUUUACAUUUGAGUGAGUGGCGAACUGGUGAGUAACACGUGGGAAACCUGCCCAGAAGCGGGGGAUAACACCUGGAAACAGAUGCUAAUACCGCAUAACAACUUGGACCGCAUGGUCCGAGUUUGAAAGAUGGCUUCGGCUAUCACUUUUGGAUGGUCCCGCGGCGUAUUAGCUAGAUGGUGGGGUAACGGCUCACCAUGGCAAUGAUACGUAGCCGACCUGAGAGGGUAAUCGGCCACAUUGGGACUGAGACACGGCCCAAACUCCUACGGGAGGCAGCAGUAGGGAAUCUUCCACAAUGGACGAAAGUCUGAUGGAGCAACGCCGCGUGAGUGAAGAAGGGUUUCGGCUCGUAAACUUCUGUUGUUAAAGAAGAACAAUAUCUGAGAGUAACUGUUCAGGUAUUGACGGUAUUUAACCAGAAAAGCCACGGCUAACUACGUGCCAGCAGCCGCGGUAAUACGUAGGUGGCAAGCGUUGUCCGGAUUUAUUGGGCGUAAAGCGAGCGCAGGCGGUUUUUUAAGUCUGAUGUGAAAGCCUUUCGGCUCAACCGAAGAAGUGCAUCGGAAACUGGGAAACUUGAGUGCAGAAGAGGACAGUGGAACUCCAUGUGUAGCGGUGAAAUGCGUAGAUAUAUGGAAGAACACCAGUGGCGAAGGCGGCUGUCUGGUCUGUAACUGACGCUGAGGCUCGAAAGUAUGGGUAGCAAACAGGAUUAGAUACCCUGGUAGUCCAUACCGUAAACGAUGAAUGCUAAGUGUUGGAGGGUUUCCGCCCUUCAGUGCUGCAGCUAACGCAUUAAGCAUUCCGCCUGGGGAGUACGGCCGCAAGGCUGAAACUCAAAGGAAUUGACGGGGGCCCGCACAAGCGGUGGAGCAUGUGGUUUAAUUCGAAGCUACGCGAAGAACCUUACCAGGUCUUGACAUACUAUGCAAAUCUAAGAGAUUAGACGUUCCCUUCGGGGACAUGGAUACAGGUGGUGCAUGGUUGUCGUCAGCUCGUGUCGUGAGAUGUUGGGUUAAGUCCCGCAACGAGCGCAACCCUUAUUAUCAGUUGCCAGCAUUAAGUUGGGCACUCUGGUGAGACUGCCGGUGACAAACCGGAGGAAGGUGGGGAUGACGUCAAAUCAUCAUGCCCCUUAUGACCUGGGCUACACACGUGCUACAAUGGAUGGUACAACGAGUUGCGAACUCGCGAGAGUAAGCUAAUCUCUUAAAGCCAUUCUCAGUUCGGAUUGUAGGCUGCAACUCGCCUACAUGAAGUCGGAAUCGCUAGUAAUCGCGGAUCAGCAUGCCGCGGUGAAUACGUUCCCGGGCCUUGUACACACCGCCCGUCACACCAUGAGAGUUUGUAACACCCAAAGUCGGUGGGGUAACCUUUUAGGAACCAGCCGCCUAAGGUGGGACAGAUGAUUAGGGUGAAGUCGUAACAAGAGCAUGCCCC
rnacentral:rRNA from 2 species